AUGGGUCAAUACUCGCUUACCUAAUUCCUCAACUAGCCUUAGCAUUACACCCCCAACAUGUAAAUCUCCUUUAACCCGAAGUACACGUUCCGUUUGUAAGUCGGUAACGUACACUCGUAAGUUCCACGAUCCAUCACCAAUUAAUUGUCCGUUCGAUAUCAUUUUGUGCGAUUUUUCCGGUUAACAAACGGCACCACAAAUUAGCAUACACGCCCACUUUAAACAUUCAUGGUAAUCUUCAAACACAGAUCAUUUUAAUAACACUCGUACGUAUCCAGUCACUAAUUACGAAUCACAGUAGUAUUAUUGUGCAUUAGUUUAUCAAAAUAUGUAAAAAAAUAAGUUAAACUCUUAAAUAGUGUUCCUAAGUUAACGUUAAAUAUAACAUUUCUAUUUAUAAAUCAACAAAACUGGGAAUGACUGCGGAGGCUACGUAGUAGGUGCAUGUUACGUGUAUCGCCCACCACCGCUUAUGAAAUUAUCAGCCGAAUGUAACCGAUUCCUCCUAUUUUCUGAAAAUCCUUUUACAUUUCAUAAUUCCUAAAACUUUCCGAAAUUAAUGACAAUCAUUAAUCAUUAUUAAUGCGGUAUCAAGAUGUUACGCCAAUUCCUGCACCCAGUCACAUAAAGAGCAAAAAAAAUGGACAGGGACGGAGUCCGCGGAUAUGUGACUUGGGGGGCCUUGGCAACUUAGUCAUUGGUGAUUGUCGAAUCAAUGUAGGUUACAAUCACCGACCGUGGUUAAAAUCCUUGACAGUCGAAGGAGAAAAACAAAUAUCCUAGCGAUUGAUGCGGUGUAAAAUAAGUUGCCUACCUAUAGGUACAAAGACUUCAACACAUGGUGUAUAAUUAGGCUAUACACCGUGUCCAACAUGUAACGUAAAUUUAAUUAUCUAAUUUAUUUAAUUGUUUAUUUGUAUAAAAUUAACUAUUAAUGUCCACCGUAACUAAUGAGUAAUCAGUAAUGAUAGGUUUAUACCAUCAUAAUUACCUCACUAUUAUUGUAUAAUUAAGAAAUAGCCAAUAGAAACGAAGGUAUGGUUUCGUUGGUUAGUUAUGCACAAUAAUCCUUUGUUUUUAUUUGCAAUUUCUUAAUGACCUAAUGAUAAUGAUUUAUAACAAUUCAAGAUACAAUAUACAAAAAUGAUGAAAAAAAAAAAACUAAAGCUACACUUUAACUCAGGGCUGUAUGCUUAGUGCAUAGAGAAUCCCUUUCCCUAUUAAAUUUCUUUUUGAUGUUAAAAAA